AUACUUACCUGGCACAGUAGAUACCAUGUUCAGGAAGGUGGUUUUCCCAGGACGAGGCUUAUAUCCAUUGAACUGCGGAUGUGCUGAUUCUGGUGAUUUCUCCAAAUGUGGGAAACUCGGCUGCAUCAUUUGUGGUAGUGGGGGACUGCGUUCACGCUGUCCCCUG
rnacentral:snRNA from 1 species